UACGAAGGGGGCUAGCGUUGUUCGGAAUCACUGGGCGUAAAGCGCACGUAGGCGGACUUUUAAGUCAGGGGUGAAAGCCUGAGGCUCAAUCUCAGAACUGCCCUUGAUACUGGGAGUCUUGAGUAUGGUAGAGGUUGGUGGAACAGCAAGUGUAGAGGUGAAAUUCGUAGAUAUUUGCUAGAACACCAGUGGCGAAGGCGGCCAACUGGACCAUAACUGACGCUGAGGUGCGAAAGCGUGGGGAGCAAACAGG
rnacentral:rRNA from 1 species